rnacentral:lncRNA from 1 species
CUCCAGGCUGGAGUGCAGUGGCACGAUCUCAGCUUACUGCAACCUCCGCCUUCUGGGUUCAAACGAUUCUCCUGCCUCAGCCUCCCGAGUUCAUGCUUCUGCAAUCAUUCACUUCCCUGCCAAGAAGAAUGAUUUUCCAACCACUACUAACCAGCAAAUGCAGCAUCCUGAAAAAGAAGACACAUGGAGAAGACCUUCAACUACAUUGAAGCUGCCAACAUGUAACAGAGAUAGAAAUAUAGCAUAGCUAUAAACCGCAAAUAUCCUGUGGCUGUUUGCUGCUAUAGAAUAACCUAAAAAUGCUGACAAGCAUAGUGCUAUGCCUACAAGACUGAAAGCCUGAAAAUUAAACUUCACCUGAUCCGUUUCCAUCUCGACUGUGAUUAAUUACUGUCAGUAGGAGAUUUCUUCAGCAUUAGAAGAAAUGUGGGUUAUUUUCCCAGAAAUACCACAUUCUCUCAUCCUUACCUCAGCCCCAUGAGCAAUGACAGCUUCUUAUAAUUAGUGAUCCACAGAUAAUAUUGCUUUUUUCUAAUUUACUUCUGCCUAGGGGAUAGUAAUAACUAUUUGCUCUUAUUAUACUCUGAGUAACAUUGCCCUUCUUUUUAUUCAUUUUUGUUCCUGAAGUCCUUCUACUUUCUAACACUUCCAUAAUAAAUUUCCUAUAUUAAAUCCCUUUCUGAAUGAAAUACCUAGAGUAGAUUGACAUCAAAAAAAAAAAAAAAAAAAAAGAAGUUUGGAGUGUCUGCUCCAUGUUGGAUAAAAAAACUAAAUAAAAUCCUGGGAAAUGUGAAGAAUGCCAAAGAAAUGGAAAAAUGAGGACAGAAAAGAAUACUACUGCCUGGUUUCUGUGGCCAUAGGUCAAGCUGGAAAACAUUUUUCCAUAAAACCAUGUGCAAUUUCAUGCCACAGGUGAAAGAAUAGCCCAAAUCCACAAGAGGGAAUUUGGAUGUACAAACAGAACCAAGGAUGUGCAGAACCAGAAGAAAGAUCAUGUGAGAACACCGCCCUAAGUAUCUGCAAGCCAUGGAGAGAGACCUCAAAAGAAACUGAACUCUGACAACACCUCUAUCUCGCUCUUCUAGCCUUUAGAACUAUGAGAACAUAAAUCUCGGUUUUUUAAGCCAUCCAGUUUGUAAUACUUUGUUAUGGCUGACACAGAAAACUAAUAAAAGAUACAAAAAUACAGUAAAUAAUGCACGUUACUUGAUAAAAAUCAAGUAAGAAACUUUUAGUACAUAAAUUAGGUAAAUAAAAUGUAAAAUGUUUAUCUUCAGCUUCUAUACAAACAUGAAAUUUACUUUGAACUUCUCUGAAUUCUCAUAUUUCUUCUUUAAUUUAUUCCAGGUUCAGAUAAUGAGUGUAUUAUAAACAGAGUCUCAAACUUAAUUUGAUAACUGAAAGUGACUAUGUUGGUAAUUUAAUUUCAAAGUUAUAUCUUCAGCAUUUAUGUACCACAGAAACAUUUCACAAUAACAUUCUAAAAUUAAUGAAUUUUCCCAGAAAAGUGAUUCCAAUCAUUUGAAACUUUUUACUUAUGUACACGAUAAAUUUAAUGCAAACAUAAGCCAUUCCACAAAUACAUCUAAAUAUUAUAUCACAGGAUAUAGCAUGUAAUAUAUUUCUAUAGAUCAGUAGGAAAUUCAUGAAAAUUCAAACCAAGUAUAAGUUUUGUAAAUCACACUGUACUUUUCCAUUGCUUGUGUUAGUAUUUAACUUUUCAAGUAUUUUAAUGCUGUUUUCCCCAGCCAGUCUAUAAAUUCUUCAAGAAUUACUUAUUGUACCACCUACAGCAAAAUCAGAAACAUGAACAAUAUAAGUAAUCUAUAGUCUGUAUGGAUAGAAUGAAUCAAUAAUUCUAACAACCUAUGAAAGUGAGUUCCUAGA